rnacentral:ncRNA from 2 species
GGACAGAACUCUGGAGAGUUCCGUAAGGACGCCGAAGGGGCAAGACAGUAGAAGAUACUGUCCAAUCUCUCAGGCAAAAGGACAGAGAAAAGAUU